UUUUGCAAAGGAGCCAUAUUUUGGGGUGAAAUUAUCUGUACAGAGCCAGUAAUUCAUCACAGAGGAGAUAAUUCUGUUUUAUCAGAGACUGACCAAGAGCUAUGUUGAUCUUGUGAAUUUGGGAGAUUACCCUUUGCUCAGCUGAUGUUCAAGGAAGGCAACGGCUUUGGGAAAAAGUUCAAUAUGUAUCCGUGAAACUGCUAACCUUUGGGAGUUACCGUAGUUUGGAUAUGGGUUAUUUGUUCCCACCAAAUGUCAUGUUGAAAUUUGAUCUCCAGUGUUGGAGGUGGGGGUAGUGGGAGAUGUUUGGGUCCUGAGGGUGGUUCCCUCCUGAAUAGAUUAAUGCCCUCCCUCAGGGCUGAGUGAGUUCUCACUCUAUCAAUUCCCUCAAGAAAUGCUUGUCAGAAGAGUCUGGCACCUCCAACCCGUCUCUCUUUCUUCCUGUGUCUCUGUGUGAUCUCUACACACUGGCUCCCCUCUGCCUUCCGUCAUGAGUGGAAGCUCCUUGAGGUCCUCAAGAUCCUUCUUGAGAAGAAGAUGCUGGUGCUAAGCUUCUUGUACAGCCUACAGAACUGGCUGAAAUGAGGAGAGGAGGACACAGACACACACAGAUGGAAGACCCUGUGAGUUCUCAGGGAGAAGAUGGCAUCUACAAGCCAAGGAGAGAGGCUGCAGGAGGAAGCAGCCCUGCAAUGCCUUGAUCUCAGACUUCCAGCCUCCAGAACUCUGGGAAAUAAAUACCUAUUGUUUAAA
rnacentral:lncRNA from 1 species